GAUGAACGCUGGCGGCGUGCCUAAUACAUGCAAGUCGAGCGAACGGACGAGAAGCUUGCUUCUCUGAUGUUAGCGGCGGACGGGUGAGUAACACGUGGAUAACCUACCUAUAAGACUGGGAUAACUUCGGGAAACCGUAGCUAAUACCGGAUAAUAUUUUGAACCGCAUGGUUCAAAAGUGAAAGACGGUCUUGCUGUCACUUAUAGAUGGAUCCGCGCUGCAUUAGCUAGUUGGUAAGGUAACGGCUUACCAAGGCAACGAUGCAUAGCCGACCUGAGAGGGGGAUCGGCCACACUGGAACUGAGACACGGUCCAGACUCCUACGGGAGGCAGCAGUAGGGAAUCGUCCGCAAUGGGCGAAAGCCUGACGGAGCAACGCCGCGUGAGUGAUGAAGGUCUUCGGAUCGUAAAACUCUGUUAUUAGGGAAGAACAUAUGUGUAAGUAACUGUGCACAUCUUGACGGUACCUAAUCAGAAAGCCACGGCUAACUACGUG
rnacentral:rRNA from 1 species